AGUGAAGAGGUGCCAGAAUCCGCGAAGAGGGUCGACGAAUGCGCUGCCGCGGAGGGUGUGCUCUGCCUUGUCAGGGUGACUUAGGUGCUCAUCUGGGCUAUAAAACCCUCACUAAGAGCAGUGCUCGGCACAAGGCAGUCUGACGCCUGGUGAAUGAUCCAUUACUUAAAAGCUCAUCAAAGUUGCAGCACUUCUGAGGGGCAGGAAGCCCCAGUAAGCAACAAUGGCCAUGAGGGAUUCAAGGAUUAUGCGGUUUAAGACCUGUGACACAGACUGAAGCUCUCCUGGCAUACUCUGAAGCUCUCCUGGCACCCUCCCCUUUAUGCUUCACAGGUGUUUCUCCUAAUAAAUUUCUUGUAUGUCUCAUCCCAUCUGGG
rnacentral:lncRNA from 1 species